rnacentral:lncRNA from 1 species
UCUGAUCAUAUUUGUUUUACCAUAAGAUAUCAUUCUUGAAGUGUACUUAUUAAUUACACGCAUCAUGUGAUUAGCUAAUAUGAUCAUAAAAUACGCGUAUCGUGACGGUUGAGUUGCAGGAUUUUAGUGUUUUGUCUGUACAUUUGGCGGGGAAUGUGGAAGCAGAUGUUACUAAUUAAUUUAACCAUUGUGAUGUUUGGUCGGCUUGCUGGUAUGCUGAGGUAUCUAAGAUGAUAGCUGCUUUUUUUCUUUUUCUUUUUCUUUUUUCCACUUAUUGCUCAGGAUUAAAUUAUUUAUGGUUUCCAGGAAUAUGACUCUGUAUCUUUCAUUCUGACUUUUUCAAUUGCUCUAUCUACCCCAACUCAACAAAACAUUAAACACAAUAAUCUGUUUUCUUACGUUAAUUUAAACUAUGCAUUACAUCAGGCUUGGAGAACAGCUGAGAAUUAAAGUAAUGUAAGAAUGUGACAAAAUAACAGGACAAAAUUGUGUUUUGAUAUUUUCUUCCACACCUCAAGAACAACGCCGGCCGCCGUCCUAAUUGUGUAUUUUCGAAGAGGCUGGAUAGGAUGGUUGAAUUCUCGAAGAAAACAAAACCAUCUCCACCUUAGCCUGCCGAAUAAGAAAAGAUUUUAGAAACAAGGGUCAGAGUGGUCAUGUAUCCCACAAAUCAAAUACUUUUCUUUUGGCUGUUUCAAAAUUCUUUCAAAUGGUAAUAUAUAUAUUUUAUACUAAAUUUGGCUUUUCCACCUUCAAACUAAUUUUUUCUUACCUGCAACUUAUUGUCUUAUUUUUCUGCAAAU